UCCGAGGGGUGUCCUGUCAUGGGCUGAGAUGGCGAAAGCCGAACCCUUUGAACCUGAUCUGGGUCAUGCCAGCGAAGGGACGGGU
rnacentral:ncRNA from 1 species